rnacentral:rRNA from 1 species
AUUGAACGCUGGCGGCAUGCCUUACACAUGCAAGUCGAACGGUAACAGGUUAAGCUGACGAGUGGCGAACGGGUGAGUAAUACAUCGGAACGUGCCCAGUAGUGGGGGAUAGCCCGGCGAAAGCCGGAUUAAUACCGCAUACGACCUAAGGGUGAAAGGGGGGGAUCGCAAGACCUCUCGCUAUUGGAGCGGCCGAUGUCAGAUUAGCUAGUUGGUGGGGUAAAAGCUCACCAAGGCGACGAUCUGUAGCUGGUCUGAGAGGACGACCAGCCACACUGGGAAUGGGGAAACGGCCAAACUCCUAAGGGGGGCAGCAGUGGGGAAUUUUUGACAAUGGGGGGAAACCUGGUCCAGGCAUGCCGCGUGGGGGAAAAAGGCCUUCGGGUUGUAAACCGCUUUUGUCAGGGAAGAAAUCCUUUGGGUUAAUACCUCGGGGGGAUGACGGUACCUGAAGAAUAAGCACCGGCUAACUACGUG